UACGUAGGGGGCAAGCGUUGUCCGGAAUCAUUGGGCGUAAAGCGCGUGUAGGCGGCCUUGUAAGUCCGUUCUGAAAGUCCGGGGCUCAACCCCGGGAGGCGGAUGGAUACUGCAAGGCUCGAGUACGGAAGAGGCGAGUGGAAUUCCCGGUGUAGCGGUGAAAUGCGCAGAUAUCGGGAGGAACACCAAUGGCGAAGGCAGCUCGCUGGGACGUUACUGACGCUGAGACGCGAAAGCGUGGGGAGCAAGCAGG
rnacentral:rRNA from 1 species